UCGAGAGGCUUCGGCAAUGGGGGAAACCCUGACCGAGCGACGCCGCGUGGAGGAUGAAGGCCCUUGGGUUGUAAACUCCUUUUGCUGGGGAAGAAGUGCGAUCAGGUGAAUAAUCUGGUCGUUUGACGGUACCCGGCGAAUAAGCUCCGGCUAACUCCGUGCCAGCAGCCGCGGUAACACGGGGGGAGCAAGCGUUGUUCGGAAUCACUGGGCGUAAAGGGCGUGUAGGCGGUUCGGUAAGUGAGAUGUGAAAGCCCUCGGCUUACCCGAGGAUCUGCAUUUCAAACUGCCGGACUUGAGUAUGGGAGAGGAUGAGGGAAUUCCUGGUGUAGCGGUGAAAUGCGUAGAUAUCAGGAGGAACACCGGUGGCGAAGGCGCUCAUCUGGCCCAAUACUGACGCUGAGGCGCGAAAGCUAGGGGAGCAAACGGGAUUAGAUACCCGCGUAGUCC
rnacentral:rRNA from 1 species